CCCUAGCCCUGAUGGGAACGGUAUCCUUUUGUGGCGGGGUUCGCCACAAAAGAUAUAGUGAACAGCAGGAUUAGCU
rnacentral:sRNA from 3 species